AACGAACGCUGGCGGCAUGCCUAACACAUGCAAGUCGAACGGGAUCCUGGCUUCGGCCAGGUGAGAGUGGCGGACGGGUGAGUAACGCGUGGGAACCUGCCCAUUGGUCUGGGAUAACUGCGGGAAACUGCAGCUAAUACCGGAUGUACCCGAGAGGGGAAAGAUUUAUCGCCGAUGGAGGGGCCCGCGUCAGAUUAGGUAGUUGGUGAGGUAACGGCUCACCAAGCCUACGAUCUGUAGCUGGUCUGAGAGGAUGAUCAGCCACACUGGGACUGAGAUACGGCCCAGACUCCUACGGGAGGCAGCAGUGGGGAAUAUUGGACAAUGGGCGCAAGCCUGAUCCAGCCAUGCCGCGUGAGUGAUGAAGGCCUUAGGGUUGUAAAGCUCUUUUGCCGGGGACGAUAAUGACGGUACCCGGAGAAUAAGUCCCGGCUAACUUCGUGCCAGCAGCCGCGGUAA
rnacentral:rRNA from 1 species